CCUACGGGGGGCAGCAGUGGGGAAUAUUGGACAAUGGGCGAAAGCCUGAUCCAGCCAUGCCGCGUGUGUGAAGAAGGCCUUCGGGUUGUAAAGCACUUUCAGUGGGGAAGAAAGCCUUGGGGCUAAUACCCUCGAGGAAGGACAUCACCCACAGAAGAAGCACCGGCUAACUCCGUGCCAGCAGCCGCGGUAAUACGGAGGGUGCGAGCGUUAAUCGGAAUUACUGGGCGUAAAGCGCGCGUAGGCGGUCUGAUAAGCCGGUUGUGAAAGCCCCGGGCUCAACCUGGGAACGGCAUCCGGAACUGUCAGGCUAGGGUGCAGGAGAGGAAGGUAGAAUUCCCGGUGUAGCGGUGAAAUGCGUAGAGAUCGGGAGGAAUACCAGUGGCGAAGGCGGCCUUCUGGACUGACACUGACGCUGAGGUGCGAAAGCGUGGGUAGCAAACAGGAUUAGAUACCCGGGUAUC
rnacentral:rRNA from 1 species